GGGAACCGCGCCCCGGGGGCCCCGCGCUCCCCCGGCUCCUGCGCGCCCCUGGGCCGCCUCCCUGAGCGCGGAGCCGGCCGGCCGGGCCAGCACGGAGCAGGGGCGCCGAGGGAGCCCCGCAGACCGCCCCCCCCCCCGGGGCCUGCGACCCUUCUGGAAAGACCCCGCGAAACCCAAGGCCCCGGGUGGGCCGCGCGCCCAGCCCCGAGGCCCCCACCCCAGGCCGACCUCUCCGCUCCCGCUGCCCCCGACCCCGGGGUCGCCCAAUUCCAGGAUCUUUCGCUUGAGUUUAAACUUUGGCUUUUUUAAUAGCCUCUGAAUGUGAUGCCCGAAGGAGGAUCUGAGGCUGCUCGGUUCUGCCAAGAGGAGCGGUAAACCCAACUCCGCGCGGAAAGAAGUGGGCAAAGACGGGAAUGAGCGCGGGGAGAGCAAGAAGUGCAGAACAGGGUGUUCAGGGCGCAGCUGGGAACCCGCGGGGGCGGGUUCGCGACAGAGUGUUUAGCAAUUCAGAAGGUUACUCUGGGACUUCUUGCCUUCUAUUUCCCUUUUAUAGAAUUGUUUGGAAAUUGGCCACCAUUGUAACAAAUACGUGAUGAACUCUCUAGCAGUUAUUUGAAUGAUACUUGGAGUCACUUUCUCAAGACAUGGAGCCAUGUGUAUAUGUUAAGAAAAAAGCAGGAUAUAAAUCAGAAUCUUUGCAAAAAUGAUGCAUUGAAAAUGACUGGAGGAAACAUGCCAAAAUACUCACAUGAAAUAGGUAGUGGGAUUAUGAAUGGUAACAGUUUUCUUUUUUAUACUUUUCUCUUUUUCCCCCCUGCAAUGGGCAUAUUUUACUGCUAUAAUCAGGAAAAAAAAGCAUCAUGUUGAAGAAAGGACAACCGUGCGCCGGUCUCAGCGCAGCCAGGAGGGCUCCUGACCUCUCUCGAGGUGGAGUUUUCAGGGGCAGUGACAGUGAAGCCUGUGGUCUUUGAGGAGGAUGGUGACACUCCUAGGGGGCUGCUUAUUUCAUCCCAGCUGGAGAACUGCUUGCAAAACUCCUCUCUGCUGAAACUUAGAGGGCUUGUUUUCCUUACAGAAGUCCUUGGCAGAGUGCUAAAAGGAGCAUGCCCAGUUUGGGACUUGGGUGGGUAUCCUGCUGUCCCACAAUAUCCCCAAAGCCGGUAACUGUCCCCCGACUGCAGAGCAGCUCACCAUGGAAAAGCCAAUUUUCAGGGGCUGGCAUUGCCAUUUUCCUGUUCCUUCCGACUGGAAGACUUAUGAAGUCACGGAUAGAUGACGCUGACUUCCAUCGAGAUUCUCCAUCUGAAAAGAACAGGAAGCCAGUCUCGUUGGUAGUUCUUGCGAAGGAUGUCUAUCAUCCACUGCCCUCUGUCUGGUUCCAUUUGCACCCCACGUAUCAUCAUGCAACACCUCGAUUAUUGCAUGUAACCUUGUGAGUCCCCUUCUGCAGCUUCCACCUUGGAGAAUUAUUGUGAAACUACUGAAAGCUUAAACCUCAGAGGCCCUCGCUUGCACAAGCCGUGGAAGGGGCAGCUGGCGCUGCGUUCACAGGGUCAUAUGCUUUUAUGAAAUCUGCAGAGUAAGAGAUUUCACCCACAGUGAUUAAGACCUCUGUCUCUUUCCUCUCCGACUUCUCCUUUAACAUACUUCUCUUGGCGGGUGGUGUUGGGGUGGCUCUGGCGUUUUUGAGGCAUGUCUUGACAUCAACAACAAAUUGCGAAGUUAAAAGAAACUUUUCUAAACUGUCAAUAAUAAGAAACAUUUUGAUAAAUCAUUCUAGAGGAAAGACUGAAUUCACUUUCUAUAGAGAAUAUUACAAAAGGUUGCGGUAAGUAGACGUACACAUCACACAGUCAAAGAUGUAGGUAAAAAAGUAUUAGAGUCAGGCUGUUAGCUAAUACAAAUAGUAUUUUAUU
rnacentral:lncRNA from 1 species